rnacentral:rRNA from 2 species
UGUUUCGGCUAGGGGGCCAUCCCGGCUUACCAACCCGAUGCAAACUGCGAAUACCGGAGAAUGUUAUCACGGGAGACACACGGCGGGUGCUAACGUCCGUCGUGAAGAGGGAAACAACCCAGACCGCCAGCUAAGGUCCCAAAGUCAUGGUUAAGUGGGAAACGAUGUGGGAAGGCCCAGACAGCCAGGAUGUUGGCUUAGAAGCAGCCAUCAUUUAAAGAAAGCGUAAUAGCUCACUGGUCGAGUCGGCCUGCGCGGAAGAUGUAACGGGGCUAAACCAUGCACCGAAGCUGCGGCAGCGACGCUGAUGCGUUGUUGGGUAGGGGAGCGUUCUGUAAGCCUGCGAAGGUGGCCUGUGAGGGUUGCUGGAGGUAUCAGAAGUGCGAAUGCUGACAUAAGUAACGAUAAAGCGGGUG